UCCUUUGUUUACCAUUGUGCAAAGACAGGGUUUUAGAACCCUAGCCAGCCGCCACCAAAUCUUCCUCCACCGGUGGCGCUACGACAUACCGGUCUCAAAAUAACACCAAACACCUUCCUCGGUUCCCCCAGCCCAAAUAUGCAACCAUUUUUCCUCAACGUCGAACAAACCUUUUGAAUUUUGAAUCCAAGUUUUCCAGCUAAAACCCUAUCACCUCCAAACCUACAAAAAUCACAUCACAUACUCUUCUCACCUUCCUUUUCUUAAACCCCUAACUAGUUUCUCUCAAAUUCCACCAGGCCUACACGAAUCUUAGAUAUAGGGUUUUUUUUGACAAGUGUGUUCGAGUUUCCAGUGCCAACUAGUGUUUGAGUGGUUUUUAAAAUUAAGCUAUGUGUUUGUUCUUAGAAAGAACUAACACAUAACAUCAUUUGAAGACCCAGUUCGAAGUUAGGCGAGUUUAAAUUUCAAAAUCAAUAAGUGUUCUUAAAAUUCCUUCUCUUCGUUAUUUAUUAUUUAUAUUUAUUUUUCUUUCAGUUUAUCGUUAGUAUUCAUUCGUUGUGUUUUAGGGUUAACUCGGAGUUUUGAUUUGUUCCAGAUGUAGUUAAUUUCUUCCCUGCUAUCUGUUUCAGUUGUUUAUUUCAAUGUUAGCCCUAGGGUCUCCUAUUUGAUACUGUUUUAUAAUUGGGUAGUGUAAUUCAAGUUCUGCUCGAUCUUAAUUGUUAGGCUAUAAUCUUGUCGAUUUAGUAACAAAUUUAAUUUGAUUAAUUAGAAUUAGUUUAUAAGCAUUGACCUAAUUAGUUUAGUUAUAGCUGGUCAUUGCAUCUUCUCAGUUAAUGGGGACCAGAGUUGAAGGGUUUGGGUAUGGUAACUAAAGUUAGUUAAUUCAGGGGAAAUUUAAGGGUAGUUUAGGUAUUUCAUAUUAGAUAAUUGAUGCAGUAUAUUAAAUUAGUACUUCCUAGAGUCUUCUAGAAGAGAGUCUAGUUGUACUUUCAGGGAACUUAGCAAUGAAACUUGGGAAACAAGUCUGUAAAUAAGGGACUAUUUGGAUAAAAAUAAAUAACAUAUCAGGGACUAAAUAGAAACUUAAAAUUUGAGGGCUGCCCUCAUCUUUGCCAAUAAAAAGCAUGUCCAAUGCCUUAAUUCACAAGUUUUCAGCUCUAAAAAAAACUCUCUCCCCCCCCCCCCCCAAAAAAAAAAAAAAAAAUACUAAAUUUACAGCAAUUAAUAAUAUUUAAAAGAAAAAAAAAAAAAAAAAAAAAAAAAAACCCCCCCCCCCCCCCCCCCCAAAAAAAAAAAUUAUUCUAAAGUUUUCACAAGCUGAAUUUGAAUUUUAGAUCCACAAAUUAUAUCUGAAAUCAAAAAAAUACUUUUAGAUCUUACCUCCUCCAAAAAUAUAAACAAAACAAAGAAAAACAAUAGAAAAAAACCUACAAAAAAUAUUGUUUCAAUGCAUUUCAUUCGGGUAAUUUCGAAUCAUCGCUGUAGAUUUGAACUUCUACCAUAUAUAAGUGAAGAAUGACUUGAAAAUUCCUCGACUGUUGGGUUUCUGAAGCUUCAACUCUUUUCUUCUUUGAUUUAGAGUGGGUUUUGGGUCAUUUUUGAUAGUGUACCUCUGUAGUGUGGUUCUAGGAUUUUGUGAAGCUUUUUUUGUUCAAAAACUUAUGUGUUGUUGCUGAUUUGUCGCUGAGUUGCAGUUGUUAUAAAACUGCUGUUGACCUCUCCUUCUCUUCUUAUAUUACAAUUUCCAGGUACAUAUUCUAAACUGUGGAGAUGAAUAUCCGAUCUGAGAAGUUGAAAUGGGAAUUCAAUGAUUCGUUGCCUAAUGUUUAUGUUAUCAGUAUGUAUUCAACUUAGUUUAGUUAAAUUCCAUUUUUGUAGUUGAAUGUUGUAACUAAACUAAACCGUAUGAGAUUUUUCGGACUUUCUGUAGUUCAUUUGGUUGGUAAAGUCUAGCUUUCAUAUUUAGAACACUAAGGUUAUUUUCAUUUGUGUUAGUAGGAAGAUUUUAAGUAGUAAUAGGUUUAGAUUCAAUCAUUUAAACUAAUUUCAUCAUAUAACUGAUAAUGCUUCUAGCUAAUAACUUCACGUGAAAAAUUGCUUCAAAUCUAAUAUACUAUAUGUAAUCUGGUACGCUUGGCAGUUUCAAAAGACAAAAAUAAUAGGU
rnacentral:lncRNA from 1 species